GAUGAACGCUGGCGGCGUGCCUAAUACAUGCCAGUCGAGCGAACAGACGAGGAGCUUGCUCCUCUGACGUUAGCGGCGGACGGGUGAGUAACACGUGGAUAACCUACCUAUAAGACUGGGAUAACUUCGGGAAACCGGAGCUAAUACCGGAUAAUAUAUUGAACCGCAUGGUUCAAUAGUGAAAGACGGUUUUGCUGUCACUUAUAGAUGGAUCCGCGCCGCAUUAGCUAGUUGGUAAGGUAACGGCUUACCAAGGCAACGAUGCGUAGCCGACCUGAGAGGGUGAUCGGCCACACUGGAACUGAGACACGGUCCAGACUCCUACGGGAGGCAGCAGUAGGGAAUCUUCCGCAAUGGGCGAAAGCCUGACGGAGCAACGCCGCGUGAGUGAUGAAGGUCUUCGGAUCGUAAAACUCUGUUAUUAGGGAAGAACAAAUGUGUAAGUAACUAUGCACGUUUUGACGGUACCUAAUCAGAAAGCCACGGCUAACUACGUG
rnacentral:rRNA from 1 species